AUGCUCACUUGGGCAGCACAUAUACUAAAAUCGGAAUGAUACAGAGAUUAGCAUGGGCCCUGUGCAUGAAUGACAUGCAAAUUUGUGAAGCAUUCCAUAUUUUU
ensembl:snRNA U6 U6 spliceosomal RNA